AAGCCAGCACAAGAUGUAUGCUCGUCCUCGCUGUCGCCGCAGGGGAAUCCGGUGCAAGUCCGGAACUGUCCCGCAACGGUGUACUGGUACGCAUUUGUGCGCUCGCGCCCGCAACAUGCGCCGGUGAGUCCGACGACCUGCCGACAGCGCACCUGGACC
rnacentral:ncRNA from 1 species